GCACCAAACCCGCUGCUACAUCCUGAGGACACCGAUACUCCACCACAUCCUGAAGGUUCUCAAUAGGAAUCUCCUCAAAAUUACUCGGCUGACUGUUGAGGAAUUUGUCAAAAUGCCGCGCUGCCUCUGACUUAAUCUCCUUCAAAUCCGUGAGUACUCUUCCAUCUUCAGUGACAAUACGUCUGAUAGCAUUCUUUGAGUUCCUUGCUUUGCAAACAUUGUGAUAGAAACAGUUGUUACGGUCACCCAGCCCCAACCAUUUAACCUUAGACUUUUGGAAAUAGAACUGUUCUUCAAUGCCUGAAAUAUGAUGCCAGUGCUCCCAUGCUGCUGAGACAUCUUCAAAAGCUGCAGUCGUUGGGAGAUCUGUGGCUACAGCUUGUUUUAGACAUAGGUCCUCAUAGGCAAGCUUCACUCUUGAAGGCAAGUCACCAAACAAAUCCUUGUUAAGCCCGCGG
rnacentral:lncRNA from 1 species